rnacentral:rRNA from 1 species
GACAGAGGUCCCGAGCGUUAGGCGGAAUCACUGGGCUUAAAGCGUGUGUAGGCGGAUUUGUAAGUACCUUGUGAAAUCCCACGGCUUAACCGUGGAACUGCUGGGUAUACUGCUUAUCUUGGGCCAUCUAGGGGCGAGCGGAACAAACGGUGGAGCGGUGAAAUGCGUAGAUAUCGUUUGGAACGCCAAUGGUGAAAACAGCUCGCUGGGGAUGUGCCGACGCUGAGACACGAAAGCCAGGGGAGCGAACGGG